rnacentral:rRNA from 1 species
GAAGCUGGAUUCGCUAGUAAUCGCGCAUCAGCCAUGGCGCGGUGAAUACGUUCCCGGGCCUUGUACACACCGCCCGCCAAGCCAUGGAAGCCGGGAGUGCCUGAAGUGUGCAACCGCAAGGAGCGCCCUAAGGUAAAACUGGUGACUGGGGCUAAGUCGUAACAAGGUACC